CGACGGAAACGCUGGAUUGCGCAAGUUAAGCGAGACUGCUGGGAGCCGACUGCUUCCUCCCGUGUUUGUGAGGCCCACUUCGAGGACACAAGCUUCGAGCAAAGGAGGCAGGACGGUUUGAAGAAACUAAGGCCAGAUGCUAUCCCGACGCUGUUUUCUUUUCGCCCUCUUCCAAAGCACAGAUUGCCCCCAAAGAAUCGGGAUGCUGUAUCAAACGUACCGCCUCGGCAUCCAGAUCUCU